CUGUGUAGCAGUGCAGUAUAAUGGGAGCGUAGGCAACCCGAAGUGCCUCAUAGGCUGCUAUCGCGAUUCAGCUCAGCUUGGCACUCUCCGCUACUCCCCUAACGACACUACUUCCUGGAUAUCCGACUCCCCUCGUCUUACCUCUGCCGGGCGCCAGCCCAUGUAUGGGCCCCUACCGGAUUUGUACCGAACGACAUGGAUGUCCCACCAUCUCUUGAUCCAAAGGGCCGUUUCUUGGCGCAGUAAAGUAGGGAAUCAUGCCGGGACUGUCAAUGGAUUUAGGGGUAGCGCGAGUGACCAUGCCGUGAUCCUGCGCGCGGGCUGCCGUCACCCUGACUUAACGACCGUAGACCGUAAUUCCGGGGGAAUCAAAAGCGUACGGGGGAUCACCACGGUGCAUUUUACAAACAACAUGAAGAUUACCUCCCCGCUGAUAACUAGUCUCGUUUUCAGGUCCAACCUCAGCCUGCUGCUCCCUCUUCUGCUGCUACUAGGACACUCUCGAGGGAUGCCGCACGUUCUACGAUUCGGGGGAAUAUUUGAAUCCAUUGAAAGCGGCCCAUCGGGGGCCGAGGAACUCGCCUUUAAAUUUGCCUUGAACACCAUCAACAGGAACCGCACCCUGCUGCCAAACACCACGCUCACGUAUGACAUCCAGAGAAUAAACAUAUUCGACAGCUUCGAGGCCUCCAGAAAAGCCUGUGACCAGCUCUCCCUGGGUGUGGCGGCCAUCUUUGGCCCCUCCCACAGCUCGUCUGCCAACGCGGUCCAGUCCAUUUGUAACGCUCUGGGGGUGCCUCACAUCCAGACCAAGUGGAAGCACCAGGUGUCUGACAACAGGGAUUCAUACUACGUCAGUCUCUACCCGGACUUCCAGUCACUCAGCCGGGCCAUCCUGGACCUGGUCCACUUCUUCAAGUGGAGGACAGUGACCGUGGUCUACGACGACAGCACAGGUCUUAUUCGAUUGCAGGAGCUGAUCAAGGCGCCGUCCCGAUACAAUAUUCGUUUGAAGAUCCGACAGUUGCCAGCAGAGACCAAGGACGCUAAGCCGCUUCUGAAGGAGAUGAAGAAAGCAAAGGAGUUCCAUGUGAUUUUUGACUGCAGCCACGAAAUGGCUGCUUGGAUCCUGAAACAGGCUCUGGCCAUGGGAAUGAUGACGGAGUAUUACCACUACAUCUUCACCACUCUGGACCUCUUCGCCCUGGACAUGGAGCCGUACCGGUACAGCGGAGUGAACAUGACGGGUUUCCGGAUCCUGAACACGGAAAACUCUCAGGUGUCAUCCAUCAUUGAGAAGUGGUCCAUGGAACGCCUACAGGCCCCGCCCAAGCCAGACUCAGGCCUGCUGGAUGGAUUUAUGACGACGGACGCGGCGCUGAUGUACGACGCGGUGCACGUGGUGGCCGUGGCGGUGCAGCAGUCCCAGCAGAUCACCGUCAGCUCGCUCCAGUGCAACCGCCACAAACCCUGGCGCUUCGGAGCACGCUUCAUCAGUCUCAUCAAAGAGGCCCAUUGGGAUGGUUUGACUGGACGUGUCCUGUUCAACAAAACCAAUGGACUGAGGACAGACUUUGACCUAGACGUCAUCAGUCUGAAGGAGGAUGGACUGGAAAAGAUCGGAACUUGGGACCCUCCCAGCGGUCUGAACAUGACGGAGAACCACAAGACCAAGACCACCAACAUCACCGACUCCCUGGCUAACAAAUCCCUGCGUGUCUCCACCAUCCUGGUGGAGCCUUAUGUGAUGUUCAAGAAGUCAGACAAGCCGCUGUACGGCAACGACCGCUUUGAGGGUUACUGCAUCGACUUGCUCCGUGAGCUCUCUGGAAUACUGGGGUUCCGAUAUGAGGUGCGCCUGGUGGAGGAUGGCAAGUACGGGGCGCUGGAGGAAAGCACCGGCCAAUGGAACGGCAUGGUCAGGGAGCUCAUCGACCACAAAGCGGAUCUGGCGGUGGCUCCUCUGGCCAUCACCUACGUGAGGGAGAAGGUCAUCGACUUCUCCAAGCCCUUCAUGACCCUGGGGAUAAGCAUCCUCUACCGCAAGCCCAACGGAACCAACCCGGGCGUCUUCUCGUUCCUCAACCCCCUCUCGCCUGAUAUCUGGAUGUAUAUUCUGCUGGCUUACUUGGGUGUCAGUUGUGUGCUGUUUGUCAUAGCCAGGUAACAUGCCAUCCUUCGCCCCUUCACCAAACAGACAGUGGCUUUUAUCUCCCGCGCGCCUUGAGACUAGUGCCAGCUCAGAGUGUGAAUUUAUUAUACCUGUGAAAGUGAAAGUCUGUGUCUCUCUGGGGAGUUUUGACAGCGUGUGAAUUAUGUCCGGCUGACAGAGGGAGGAGUAUAUGUCCUUAAGCUCCAGGGAAGCUCAUGUAGAGUCUGGUGGACCCACCUGGGCUUAACUCCAGACAGAGAGAAACGUGGAACAAUAAUGUGAAGCCAAGCCAAGUUACUGUCCAAGUAGGUUGUCGUGGACGUCUGAUGGAAACCUCGUAAUCUAAUUUUAGUCAAUAAAACAAAACCAUGUUAAGAGUAGUAGCUACAGCACAUCUCAGUGACUCCCUUCAGGUCGGAGCAUUUCACAAUUGUAGGAGCGGAAAAAAUGAGCUCAACAUUUUUGUUUUAUGACUUGAUGUUCAUUAUAGCCAUCGUCUUUCCUAUUUCCUGAGAAGAUUACAUUUCCUGUAUUAAGUUUUCAUGAGCCUUAGAGGACCUUCGUUUCUCGCAUUUACAGAACUACUUCAAAGUUGUUUGCAUGUCGUAAGUAAUUCGUGGCACUGGUUGCAAAAGUACCUUUAUUAGAAGCUUUCUUUCACAUCCCAAAAUGUUUUUCUUUAGAUGAUUACAAUCUCGUUAUUUCACCUCUUUCCUUACAGAAAACAGGUUUCCAAUCAGAAUUUUAUGUUGUGAUGUUUAUUAUUAUUUUUUUACCUGCUGGUUAGUAUCAUCAACUCGUUUGAAGCAUUGCUUACUAAUCUUUUAUAGAAAAUGUUUCAUUAAUCCCAGAACUCUGGGGUGACAGCUGAUAGGUCCAUUUUGGUAUGGCCCAGAGAGUUCUGUGGUUAAUGCAAUUUUUCAGAUGUUACUUGGCUCUAUGAUCACUUGAGAUGAAGGCAACAACUGCCACCCAAGUUGGUUCAGAAUAUGCACUUUUCUUUCAUUGUCAGCAAUUUUCAAGGUAUGUCGGGUAAGUUUUAAAUUUAUUUUUCUAAUGGCCUUAAGAUGAAAAUGAUACUUUUGUAUAUUAGAUUCGUUUUGCUAUUUUUUAUUCUGCCAAAUUAACAUAUUUAUUUUGAACUUUGCACCAUUUUGAAGUCCAAUUUCCGCUUAAGGCCUUGAAUCGAGUAUCAACACUUGAGACAUGUCCUGCGAUGCACAUGUCGCCAAGCCUUUCCACUUCUUAACACAUUGCCUGCUCAUCCAGGAAGUGCUUGCCAGCACCUCAACACUUGGAGGAGAACACAUUCUCGCUGAUUGCAGGUGUGCAAUUAACCUCCCACAAGGAGUCGCUGGUGCAAAAUCAGACAACCUCAUCGGGCCUCCCUGUUGGAACUGUCUUUGUAGCGUGACCAGGGUUUAAGAAAAUCCAAGAAAACUCAGGUUCUGAUCCGAGUAAAUGUAUUAGACUGCUUCAUUAGAUGACCUGUUCUCUGUAUUCUGUCUGAGUGCUGAUGUGCAGCGGCUCAGAGACGCCGUACAUUCUUCCCCCCAGGCGUCAACUUGCUGAGUUGAGCUCUCUCAUAAUUGUAGUAUUGACCAUUCAACAAACACAUUGAUUUGUUAAGUCCCUAUUAUGCUGGGGAUAUUGUAUUCUUUAAUCCCCUGGAAAGUGAGUCAGUAGUGCAGCUAAACAUGAAGAAAUCUCACUAAUAAAGUAGUAAAACCUUCAGAUCGCCAAGGAUUUAAGAGCCUGUUCAAACUACAACCUGAAGGUCCCAAAGAAAGUACUUUUCUACAUUCCACAAAAUUGUGUUUCUUUUAUGUUCCUAACCUCAACUGUCGUGUGGAGUCUAGCUCUGUUUUCUGCUAAAUUUAUUCUUUGCUCUUCCCUUUUUACAACUUUUGCUAUUCACACAUGCAUUCACAAUCGUAAAGCACGAACUGAAUCUCUAAAGAUAUUUCAGAGAACCCGGGCCGAUGCAGGCACAAUAGGGGCUCUAUGGGAGCAUAUGGAGUCGUUCCUGGUUAUGGAUCACACACUAGAUAAGCACAAAUCACAGUGUGGCUCACCUCAGGCUUGUGCCUACACACACACACACACACACACACACCUCCCCUCAGAUGAGAAAAGUGAGGAAACAGAUCUAUAGAGAGUAAUUGAAUCCAACAGACUGCUAAUUAGAUGGUGCCUGUUUGGUUGUUGUGUCCAGGGAGACAAAACCAGACUAGACCAGAACAAACAGACCAGACCAGAACAAACAGACCAGACCAGACGAGAACAAACAGACCAGACCCGAACAAACAGAUCAGACCAGAGCAAAUAAACCAGAUUUGAUUGAACCAGACCAAACCAGACCAGAGCAAACAAACCAGACCAGAACAAACCAGACCAGACCAGAACAAACAGACCAGACCAGAGCAAAUAAACCAGACUUGAUUAAACCAGACCAGACCAGAACAAACAGAUCAGACCAGAACAAACUAACCAGAUCAGACCAGAACAAACAGACCAGAACAAACAGAUCAGAUCGGACCAAACCCUCUGCACCAAAAUAGAAUAGACCAGAACAGAUCAGACCAGGCCAAAUAAACCAGACCAAUCAGAAUAGACUAGAACAGAUCGGACCAGAUCAGAACAAACAGACCAAACCAGAAAAAAGAGACCAGCUCAGACCAGAACAAACAGACCAGAUCAGACAAGACCAGGACAAAAACACCAGAUCAGAUCAGACCAGACCAAACAGAUGAGAUGAGGAGUAGAGGAGACCCAGGAAUCCUUUUGUUAUUCUGUGUGGAACUCGGCAUGUCCCCUGUCUGAGAUGUAUGUCUGGCUGUGUGUAUUUGUGUGUGUCUCUUUGUGUGUGUCUAUGUGAGUGUGUGUCUGUGUGUGUGUGAGGUGACCUCACAUUCUCAUGUUGGACACCCCUCUCCUGUGGUAAUCAGUGUGCAGAACACGGCCCAGAGGAAUACAGAGGCGGAACGCAGACCGAAAGGUCGCACAGCCCAACCUCUCACACACACAAUCUGUGCCUCCCUGUCUGUCUCUCUCUCACAAACACACACACACACACACACAAUGAGGUCCACACUGUCACACACUGCAAUGUCUCACACACACACACACACACACACAGUGCCCCAGGAGACCUUGAGCAGGCGCGCACAGCCGGCGGUCGUGGCUACAAGGAGACGGAGCUCAUUGACAUUCCGGCCAAUCAGGCUGCCUGAUGGGGCUUACAGGAAGAAUUAUAGCGUGUCAUCGUGGUCCCCAGAAAUGAAUCCCGUGUGGACGGUGUAGAGGGCAGCGGUAAAGAGAAGGCUUAAUGACACCCUCCUCAAACGACGCCCUAUUCACUCUCAAGUAGACUACACAGGGUUCCGGUCCAAAGAAAUGCACUCUGUAAGGGUGCCGUUUGGGACUCCUCCGUGCGCUGUUACAUGGCAUUGUGGGUGUCGUCAAAAAAGGCCUUCUAAAUGGCCUACCGUUUGUCAUGUUUGUAGAAUAAAAGUCCCCUUUAUUACGCGGACCUAUAAACACUGAGCAAUGUCGCACUGUGGAGUGUGUUUACAGUUUGCCGUGCAUGCAAAUCAGGGACACAGAGCUGCCCGCACCAAUCAGAGAAAGUGUACCCGGUGGAGGCGUUUUGGACGACGGGAAUCUGUCUGGGCUCGAGCAGAACGGCGUGAUCGCGGGCAGCAGCGGUUGUCGGUUUUUUGGUCAUUGAUCAGUUGGGUGGGCGCGAAGGAGGAGUUGAGUGUAGCCGUGAUUUCAAGCCUUUAGGCAGGUCUUAUGCAAGAGUUAAGUUAGCAGUUAAUUUCACUCAAGCAUGUAAGGGGCGAUUUCUCAGACACAGGUUAAGUCUGUGAGAAAAGAGAAUUCCAUUGAGUUUGAGCUUCAUUGCACUUGUCUAGGCUUAAUCUGGGUCCAUGAAACCAGUUAUGAAGUUUGGCCAUUUUUCUUCCUUCAUUCAGACAACGGGACUUGAGAACAGCACAGCUUUGUCAUAAUAGUUGUGUGAAGAGCCUUUCCAACGGUUGACUGUGUAGGCCAAUCAUUCCUGUAGUCCUCGAGCUCCACCAAUCCUGCACGUUUUUACUGACUCGGCCUGUGGAAUCAGGUGAGUUUGUCAAGCCCACAACAGUCCACUCCUGGAAAAACUUGGUGAUUUUGGGGCACUCGAGGACUCGUUGGAAGACAUUGCUGUCGGCUGUAUGUGAAACGACAGUUAACAUGAUCAAUAAUUUGUUGUGAAACGAUGAGCUGGACUGUGGAUUACGUUCCAUCUUGUACAUUGGAACAAAGCCCUGCUUUUCUUCAACGCCCUAAGGCUAUUUGUGUAGUUCACUGAUAUUGGUGCUUGUAAAGGCGAUGAGAGCCUGUAUUUUAUCGGGUCAUCUUCCUCCUAGUUUAUAAAACACCCCCAAACCAUAUUGGGUGCGCUGCUCACCCAUGUCAUUCACUCCUCUAACCCAAUCACAGUAAGGUUCUGAUGUCUGAUUCUAACCCAAUUACAGUAAGGUUCUGAUGUCUGAUUCUAACCCAAUAACCAUUGUACAGAUUUUGUACAACAAAUAAUCUGUCCCUUUUUAUGUACCACCUUAUCCAGUUGUCUACUGAGCCCCCCGUUUUGACUGAUCAUUUCUGUUUUCACAAUCAUUUUGUGCAAAUGAGUAACAAGUCGGUGUGCCAAAGAUCUCGGUGUGCAUCUUUAAGAGAAUGAAAGCCAUUAUCCGAAGUGAUACUUAGCAGAUAAUUGAGCAGGGCAGGGUAAAAGGGAACGACUGGAAGGAGGGAGUUGCUUAGCAAUAGAGUGGAAGACAGCAGAGAGAGGAAGGUCGCAGGACUUGAGGUUGGUAAACACACGUCCAUGGAUGGUGCAACUCAGACUUGCUGAAUUGGGUAAAGGUGCUUGUGCCUGUAACAGAGCCCACGUGGGAACCCAGAGGACCCUCCAGUUGAUGAAUCUCAAUGAGCGCCAAAGAUGAUCAGGGAUUGGGACGUUAUCUCCAGUGACAGUGUUAUUCCAGUGCAUCGAUCGGGCCCUCUCGCAAUAAACUGCCGACAUUUGAAUACGUCAAUAUGUUUGGCGUGGGGGAAAGGGUAAAUUAUUUGUGUUUGGUCUCUCGACGAGUUGUGGAACCCUCAGGAGAUAAAAGAUCAUAGCGGCUUCGAUUUAUGUUUCAGCACUUCUGCAAUAAUACGGUGCGGCUCACUGUUUUGAGGAUUUCUUUUCGUGUCUUAUCCGUGCGGAAGAUCGUCAGUUUCUUCCCGACGUGUCAUGUCUUAAGGUCGGCCAGCUCUGAGCACCGGCGGACGCGUGCCGGGGUGUGAAGAGCAGAGCGCCCCGGCCGGCGAUGUCAUUCUGUCUGACUGACCUGUCUGUUUGUGUUCUCUCGGCCACAGGUUCAGCCCAUACGAGUGGUACAACCCCCAUCCUUGCAACCCGGACUCGGACGUGGUGGAAAACAAUUUCACGCUGCU